rnacentral:rRNA from 1 species
GGGGAAUAUUGCACAAUGGGGGAAACCCUGAUGCAGCAACGCCGCGUGAAGGAUGAAGGGUUUCGGCUCGUAAACUUCUAUCAAUAGGGACGAAAAAAAUGACGGUACCUAAAUAAGAAGCCCCGGCUAACUACGUGCCAGCAGCCGCGGUAAUACGUAGGGGGCAAGCGUUAUCCGGAAUUACUGGGUGUAAAGGGAGAGUAGGCGGCAUGGUAAGUUAGAUGUGAAAUCCCGGGGCUCAACCCCGGGACUGCAUUGGAAACUAUGUAACUAGAGUGUCGGAGAGGUAAGUGGAAUUCCUAGUGUAGCGGUGAAAUGCGUAGAUAUUAGGAGGAACACCAGUGGCGAAGGCGACUUUCUGGACAAUAACUGACGCUGAGGCUCGAAAGCGUGGGGAGCAAAC